rnacentral:rRNA from 1 species
GAUUGAACGCUGGCGGCAGGCCUAACACAUGCAAGUCGAGCGGUAGCACAGAGAGCUUGCUCUCGGGUGACGAGCGGCGGACGGGUGAGUAAUGUCUGGGAAACUGCCUGAUGGAGGGGGAUAACUACUGGAAACGGUAGCUAAUACCGCAUAAUGUCGCAAGACCAAAGUGGGGGACCUUCGGGCCUCAUGCCAUCAGAUGUGCCCAGAUGGGAUUAGCUAGUAGGUGGGGUAACGGCUCACCUAGGCGACGAUCCCUAGCUGGUCUGAGAGGAUGACCAGCCACACUGGAACUGAGACACGGUCCAGACUCCUACGGGAGGCAGCAGUGGGGAAUAUUGCACAAUGGGCGCAAGCCUGAUGCAGCCAUGCCGCGUGUGUGAAGAAGGCCUUCGGGUUGUAAAGCACUUUCAGCGGGGAGGAAGGCGGUGAGGUUAAUAACCUCAUCGAUUGACGUUACCCGCAGAAGAAGCACCGGCUAACUCCGUGCCAGCAGCCGCGGUAAUACGGAGGGUGCAAGCGUUAAUCGGAAUUACUGGGCGUAAAGCGCACGCAGGCGGUCUGUCAAGUCGGAUGUGAAAUCCCCGGGCUUAACCUGGGAACUGCAUUCGAAACUGGCAGGCUAGAGUCUUGUAGAGGGGGGUAGAAUUCCAGGUGUAGCGGUGAAAUGCGUAGAGAUCUGGAGGAAUACCGGUGGCGAAGGCGGCCCCCUGGACAAAGACUGACGCUCAGGUGCGAAAGCGUGGGGAGCAAACAGGAUUAGAUACCCUGGUAGUCCACGCCGUAAACGAUGUCGAUUUGGAGGUUGUGCCCUUGAGGCGUGGCUUCCGGAGCUAACGCGUUAAAUCGACCGCCUGGGGAGUACGGCCGCAAGGUUAAAACUCAAAUGAAUUGACGGGGGCCCGCACAAGCGGUGGAGCAUGUGGUUUAAUUCGAUGCAACGCGAAGAACCUUACCUGGUCUUGACAUCCACAGAACUUUCCAGAGAUGGAUUGGUGCCUUCGGGAACUGUGAGACAGGUGCUGCAUGGCUGUCGUCAGCUCGUGUUGUGAAAUGUUGGGUUAAGUCCCGCAACGAGCGCAACCCUUAUCCUUUGUUGCCAGCGGUCCGGCCGGGAACUCAAAGGAGACUGCCAGUGAUAAACUGGAGGAAGGUGGGGAUGACGUCAAGUCAUCAUGGCCCUUACGACCAGGGCUACACACGUGCUACAAUGGCAUAUACAAAGAGAAGCGACCUCGCGAGAGCAAGCGGACCUCAUAAAGUAUGUCGUAGUCCGGAUUGGAGUCUGCAACUCGACUCCAUGAAGUCGGAAUCGCUAGUAAUCGUAGAUCAGAAUGCUACGGUGAAUACGUUCCCGGGCCUUGUACACACCGCCCGUCACACCAUGGGAGUGGGUUGCAAAAGAAGUAGGUAGCUUAACCUNUCGGGAGGGCGCUUACCACUUUGUGAUUCAUGACUGGGGUGAAGUCGUAACAAGG